GAGGGCUGCAUAACUGAUGGAAGGCCGGGCGCGGUAAGAGCGUCUCGGGGAGUAGGGCAAGGCGGCCGGGCCCCUCCCAUUCCGCCUUUUCUUCAGCGUCCUGCCCGCGGCACUGGCUGCGGGUGCCGGGCCACCUGCGAGUGUGCGGAGGGAUUCCGGACACCCGCGGCGGCGAGCUGAGGGAGCAGUCUCCACGAGAACUGAGGCGGACCCUCUGGCGCCAUGCGCGCCCUCCCCGGCCUGCUGGGGGCGAGGGCGCCUACGCCCCGGCUGCUUCUCCUCCUCCAGUGCCUUCUCGCCGCCGCGCGCCCAAGCUCGGCGGACGGCAGUGCCCCAGGAGUGAGUCCGUGCUGCUGCACAUGCCCCAGCCUGUGAAUCCAGAGCUCACUACAGGGCGCAUCACAGGACUGGUGGACAGGCUCAACCACUUCCGAGAACAUUCUAGUAUGCCAGUAGAAAAAAACAUCACUUUAGAAAGGCCUUCUGAUGUAAAUCUCACAUGCCAGUUCACAACAUCCGGGGAUUUGAAUGCAGUAAAUGUGACUUGGAAAAAAGAUAGUGAACAACUUGAGAAUAAUUAUCUUGUCAGUGCAACAGGAAGCACCUUAUAUACCCAAUACAGGUUCACCAUCAUUAACAGCAAACAAAUGGGAAGUUAUUCUUGUUUCUUCUGAGAGGAAAAAGAACGAAGGGGAACAUUUAAUUUCAAAGUCCCUGAACUUCAUGGGAAAAACAAGCCAUUGAUCUCUUACGUAGGGGAUUCUACUGUCUUGACAUGUAAAUGUCAAAAUUGUUUUCCUUUAAAUUGGACCUGGUACAGUAGUAAUGGGAGUGUAAAGGUUCCUGUUGGUGUUCAAAUGAAUAAAUAUGUGAUCAAUGGAACAUAUGCUAAUGAAACAAAGCUGAAGAUAACACAACUUUUGGAGGAAGAUGGGGGAUUUUACUGGUGCCAUGCACUAUUCCAAUUAGACGAGAGUGAAGAACACAUUGAGCUUGUGGUGCUGAGCUAUUUGGUGCCCCUCAAACCAUUUCUUGCAAUAGUGGCUGAGGUGAUUCUUUUAGUGGCCACCAUUCUGCUUUGUGAAAAGUACACACAAAAGAAAAAGAAGCACUCAGAUGAGGGGAAAGAAUUUGAGCAGAUUGAACAGCUGAAAUCAGAUGAUAGCAAUGGUAUAGAAAAUAAUGUCCCCAGGCAUAGAAAAAAUAGGGAGGAGCCAAGAUGGCCGAACAGGAACAGCUCCGGUCUACAGCUCCCAGCGUGAGCAAUGCAGAAGACGGGUGAUUUCUGCAUUUCCAUCUGAGGUACCGGGUUCAUCUCACUAGGGAGUGCCAGACAGUGGGCGCAGGUCAGUGGGUGCAGUGCACUGUGCGUGAGCCAAAGCAGGGCGACACAUUGCCUCACUCUGGAAGCGCAAGGGGUCAGGGAGUUCCCUUUCCUGGUCAAGGAAAGGGGUGACAGACGGCACCUGGAAAAUCGGGUCACUCCCACCCGAAUACUGCACUUUUCCAAUGGGCUUAGGAAACGGCACACCAGGAGAUUGUAUCCCGCACCUGGCUCGGAGGGUCCUACGACCACAGAGUCUCACUGAUUGCUAGCACAGCAGUCUGAGAUCAAACUACAAGGCAGCAGCGAGGCUGGGGGAGGGGCGCCCGCCAUUGCCCAGGCUUGCUUAGGUAAACAAAGCAGCCAGUAAGCUCGAACUGGAUGGAGCCCACCACAGCUCAAGGAGGCCUGCCGGCCUCUCUAGGCUCCACCUCUGGGGGCAGGGCACAGACAAAUAAAAAGACAGCAGUAACCUCUGCAGACUUAAAUGUCCCUGUCUGACAGCUUUGAGGAGAGCAGUGGUUCUCCCAGCAUGCAGCUGGAGAUCUGAGAACGGGCAGACUGCCUCCUCAAGUGGGUCCCUGACCCCUGACCCCUGAGCAGCCUAACUGGGAGGCACCCCCCAGUAGGGGCAGACUGACACCUCACAUGGCCAGGUACUCCUCUGGGACAAAACUUCCAGAGGAACAAUCAGACAGCAGCAUUUGUGGUUCAUGAAAAUCCGCUGUUCUGUAGACACCGCUGCUGACACCCAGGCAAAGAAGGUCUGGAGUGGACCUCUAGCAAACCCCAACAGACCUGCAGCUGAGGGUCCUGUCUGUUAGAAGGAAAACUAACAAACAGAAAGGACAUCCACACCCAAAACCCUUCUGUACAUCACCAUCAUCAAAGACCAGAGGUAGAUAAAACCACAAAGAUGGGGAAAAAACAGAGCAGAAAAACUGAAAACUCUAAAAAGCAGAGUUCCUCCUCCAAAGGAACGCAGUUCCUCACCAGCAACGGAACAAAGUUGGAUGGAGAAUGACUUUGAUGAGUUGAGAGAAGGCUUCAGACAAUCAAACUACUGCAAGCUACAGGAGGAAAUUUGAACCAAAGACAAAGAAGUUGAAAACUUUGAAAAAAAUUUAGACGAAUAUAUAACUAGAAUAACCAAUACAGAGAAGUGCUUAAAGGAGCUGAUGGAGCUGAAAGCCAAGGCUCGAGAACUACGUGAAGAAUGCAGAAGCCUCAGGAGCCGAUGCGGUCAACUGGAAGAAAGGGUAUCAGUGGUGGAAGAUGAAAUAAAUGAAAUGA
ensembl:lncRNA EMBP1 embigin pseudogene 1